GUCACGAGUUCGCGAGUCGCGAGUACAUACAAUAGAGACGGUGGGUGGAUGAUGGUGAUCUAAUCUUCUUUGCUUCGACAGUUUCUGAAUGGAGUGACAUGAUUACCAUAGACGUGUAAAAAGUUAAUAACGAUCGUGGUGAAAAGGAGCAUCGAACCCUGGUACGAUCGUCGAACAAGCUGAUGCUGCAAGAAACAUCUCGUGGAUAGGUAUACGUACGGUUCCCGACGAACGCGGCAGGUUUUCUGUAAUCAGCAUGUUCCGGCGACCGACUCUCUUCCCUAACCUUCCUUUCGCACACGCCACCAGAUUCGCAAGUAACGCUAACACGUGGUGAGAUGAGUUAUAAGCGUGUGUGUGUAAAAAAGAAAAAACAGCGAUGAAACAGAAUGAAGCAAUGAGAAUUGGAGGCAUUAACAGCUGCCAAUCUAGAAUAUUAUUACCGGAUGAUAAUGAACGGGCGGAACUAUUCCAAGGUUUCAUGAUCGACACUGAUGCAUAUGCAAACGUGAAUACAUAUCGGAGGAAGUAGAUGCGAAACGCGAGACGCGAUGAGAGCUAGUGGAAACCUAGCUUUAUAGCAGGCCAUUCUAUCCUGUAAAACGAAACUUUAUUGAUACAGCAAUUAAACGAAGAAUUGGCAUUAUGACGAAGAACAAUGAAGACGCAGAAAAAUAUUGACAUUUCUCCGUUGAUACUUGUUCUAGGAAUAUUUAUUCGAUUCGUGCAAUUUGGCUUCUUGUAUGUAUAAGGCAUUUGCAGGUAUAAUUAGAAGGUAAAAUUAAUCCUGUUGUUCUCCUCAAAAUUACAUAACUCGAAAUCGGUGUUAUGUCUCAAUAAAUAUUACAGAUACUAUAGAUACUAUGGAUAUUAUUAAUUUUUAAAUAUUCGGUUUUAGCAUUCAGUGCAAUUUUACUGUCUCUGUGUAUGUUCCAUGCCUUUUAUGAACUAAGUAUUUCAAACAUAGAUGAUGUUUGCGAAGAAAGUGUGGAAAGAAUAGUACAGCUAAAGAGAAGAAUAAGAAGGAAGAAAAAGGAGGAAAGGAAGGGGGACAAAAAGGGAAAAAAGAAAGAAGAUAGGUGUAAUGGACGGAUGAAAAGGAAAGAAACGAAGAAAAAAAGGGGACGAAGAAAGGAGGAAUUUCUCUAAGGCAAUAUUAUACUUAAACAGUGAAAACUCAAAACGAAAUGGACUUGGGUCAGACUCGUUACGUAGUCCAAAUAAAAAGUAGAGUUUCAGAAGUACAAAUGGAAUGCAUCUUGAAAAAGAAAAAGAAGAACAUUUGUAAACAAAAAAAGAAGAAGGAAAUCGAAGAAAAAUGGAGGACAAAAUGUCGCGGGUGUACGGCUGCAAAAAAUCACGGACGAAGGAAAACGUUAAUUCUACUCUUGCUGUCUCAUUCUACGGACAUUAUCUCGCUAUUUAUCUAUCCCUUGGUGGACGGUUCCUCGUUGAAGAAGGGAAGAGAUGAACGUACACCAGCCGGGAGAUGAAAAAUUGCGCGAUUUAAUAAAGCAGCCGGUUCUUUUCGAGGAAAUAAUUGCCGGAACGAGGUCCCGUACGCGUCGCUUCCUUCUUUCCCGGACGACGCUCGAGGUGAAACAUUAUUUGAUAACAUCUCAUAAAUCUACGAUCCUUGCAGAGGAAGUGGUUAAGAAAGUUGGUCGAAAAUCGUGGAAUUUCCUUUGGGACGGAACUUCUCGAAAUUCAGCGGUCGUCUAGCCACGAAAAGCCAGAAAUGAAAGUCGCGAUGAAAGUAGAAAUUGCUCGUUUCACUGCCUCCGGCGCUCAUAUAUCGGUAAUAACGCUUCAACAGUCGUUCACCGAUGAGAUAAUUGUCGCGUUUUCCACGUUAAUUUCCUUUUAACGUUACUUCGCGUAAUCCCGUGCAAAAUGUUGACUUAUGAUUUAAAAGCCAGUGUUUAAAUGUUAAUUAAUCGCGAUUACCUGUCGGAAGCGUGUAUGACACAUGGAAAACGUUUUAUAGAAUUUUUCGAAGCGUUUUGCACUGGCUUAUUUAUAUUUUUCAAAAACCUUUUUACCCAUUACGAUCUUUAUCGAGAUAUGCUUUAUUACGAAUAGCGACAUAAAAUGAAACACAACUAAUUCUAAGAACAAGUAGGCGCGUAGAAUCGUUAAAAUAUGUUAUUUCUGUCAGAAAAUAUGUUCCUUUUGUCAAAUUCCAUUACUAAACUUAAUCAUUCAGGAAUCUUGCACCGAUAAGACAACGUCUAAAGCUUAUUUAAUGCUCAUCGGCAGUGACAAAGGAGAGAUCGAACGUAAAGGCUGGAAAACAAAGUGAAAGGCACAGAUGAGAACGAAAGGUUAGGAUAUGAUUUCGGUGGAACACGGAAGGAACGACGGUUAGAAUGGUCAAGGGACGCGCAGAGGGAACGAUUACACAGGUGGAUGAAAGCGGGUCCGUGCACCCCCGAGCUUCGGGUUAGUCACAUAUUUGCUGACGUACGAAGGACUAAAAGCUUUUCGCUGGUGCCUCUAUUUUCCACUCGUAAAUCGUGUUCCGUUACCGUUCUCAUGCGAAACAGCCGCGUAAAAAGGUUUCCCACUCCCAAUGUGGCCGACCAGUCGAUCUCUGUCCCUUAUGAGGCGUUGGACAACGAAUUCGCACGGACGUAUUAUAUGUUUCUUCUUUUUCUGUCUCUUACGACUGACUCUAUUCGUUUUGAACAGUGGAGAGCAGUCAGUUAUAACGUUUCUUAUUUAGAGACGUAAAUAUAAGAGUAUUUUUAUAUGCAGAAUAACGUAUUAACGAAUUAAAGAAUUCUUCAUAAAAGCCGUCAU